rnacentral:rRNA from 1 species
GAUGAACGCUGGCGGCGUGCCUAAUACAUGCAAGUCGAGCGAAUGGAUUAAGAGCUUGCUCUUAUGAAGUUAGCGGCGGACGGGUGAGUAACACGUGGGUAACCUGCCCAUAAGACUGGGAUAACUCCGGGAAACCGGGGCUAAUACCGGAUAACAUUUUGAACCGCAUGGUUCGAAAUUGAAAGGCGGCUUCGGCUGUCACUUAUGGAUGGGCCCGCGUCGCAUUAGCUAGUUGGUGAGGUAACGGCUCACCAAGGCAACGAUGCGUAGCCGACCGGGGAGGGUGAUCGGCCACACUGGGACUGGGACACGGCCCAGACUCCUACGGGAGGCAGCAGUGGGGAAUAUUGCACAAUGGGCGCAAGCCUGAUGCAGCAACGCCGCGUGAGUGAUGAAGGCUUUCGGGUCGUAAAACUCUGUUGUUAGGGAAGAACAAGUGCUAGUUGAAUAAGCUGGCACCUUGACGGUACCUAACCAGAAAGCCACGGCUAACUACGUGCCAGCCGCCGCGGUAA